CAACCUUAUGUUUGCAAGUAGUGGAGGUCGCUUAUAAACGAUUGUGUUAAGUGAAUUCUUGGCAAACGUUUCAUGCUUUUCAUAGUAACAAUUGCCUCGUCAAUACUUAUAGUUUUCAUGAAGCUUAAUGAUCUUUGAUUGUACCUUUAUUGUGCUUUUCACGUAAGGGACUUUUAGAGAAUGUUUUGAGUUGUUGCAUGUGCAUUCCCAUCCAAUUCACUAACUUUAAGAAAACUUGAAGGUUAAAAAAGUGCUAUCACAGUUAACCUAAGGCAUUGAGAUUCAUAGUUUAUUGAAAAAAGCAAUUGGAAAUCAAAGUUGAAUGCAAGUGUAUCAUGUGUGGAGAAGAACCCUCUAGUUAGUCAUUCACCCAUCAAUUUACUUAAUUUUGUCUAAAAAUCUGUUUACAUUGUUCUUGCUUUGUUUUAUUUAUUUUCGUCCAAAAUCAACCCCAUCUUAUUUCUUUGAGUCAUAUUAACUAGAACUUGUCUUAGAAUAUGUUUUUAGGUGUUUUAGGUCAUUAGAAAACCAAAAUUAGUCCAAGUUGUGUUAGAGUCCCAAAACUGCCCAGAAAGUGGUUUUUAGGCAGUUUUGAGUGUUUGUUUGCUGUUUUGAGUCUUUUGGUUUGUUUUAGUGUUUUAGAGUUUAGUUUGGCAUUCUUUGAGUCUAGUUUAGUAUUUUAAACUUUGUUUUAUAGAUUUGAGUCAGUUUAGAGUGUUUUAGCAAUCCCUCCUAAUCCCCGGUUUAAGAACAAUCCCUACUUAUCCAUACUACAAUUGUCAACAAGAGGAUUAAUUUGUGUGUUUAGUUAUUUUACGCAUCAAAUUUUGGUGCCGUUGCCGGGGAUUAGCAACUUUGCUAAUCCAUUGUUAAUUCUUUUUAUUUUUCGUUUGGUUUCUAUCUUAGUUGCUGAUUUGU
rnacentral:lncRNA from 1 species